rnacentral:snoRNA from 1 species
UGCCUUCAUGAUGAGUAUAAAAUGACAAGCAUAUGGCUGAAUUGCAGUGGUGUCAUCUUACUACUGAGGAA